UGGGGAGAAGAAUAAUGGACGGAAGACAACAAAAUGGAGAGAGGGAGUUUACUCUGGACAUGGACUCUCGCCGUUUUACUCCUCAUUUUCACUCUCAAUUUCCUUAGGUUUAGAUUCCGAUUUGUACAUUUAUGUUUCAGAAAUCAAAAACCUGCUCAUUCGAAUCCGGUGACUAAUGGCGUCGCCGAUUCUAUCUCCAGUCCCCUUUCUCAACAUCGGAUUUCUGGAAUUAUAUCUGAUUUAGAUUUGAAGAAUUUGAUAGACGACCUAGAUGAGAAGUUCCAUGAAGAUAUCAUCUGGGAAAAUGUCAUUGACAAGAGUAACAAUCGUUUUUCGUAUAAGGCCAAGUGUUGCAAACAAAAAGACGGGCCUUUGAAGUAUUUGAGUGUCACAACAUUUGAAAAUUGCUCAAUUGAGGUGCUGAUGAAGUAUUAUAUGGAUAAUGAUUAUAGGAAACUAUGGGACAAGACUGUGGUUGAGCACGAGCAGUUGCAGGUGGACCAAGCUAGUGGAACUGAAAUUGGUCGCACCGUUAAAAAGUUCCCGUUCUUGACACCACGGGAGUAUGUAUUGGCUUGGAGGGUCUGGCAAGGCAAAGAUGGAUCCUUCUACUGCUUCAGUAAGGAAUCUGAACAUCCUUUGGCUCCGAGACAGAGAAGGUAUAUAAGGGUCAAACUCUUCAGAUCUGGCUGGAGAAUCAGGAAAGUUCCUAGUAGAAAUGCAUGUGAGAUCAAAAUGGUGCACCAAGAAGACGCUGGUCUGAAUGUGGAAAUGGCAAAGCUAGCUUUUGCAAAGGGCAUAUGGAGUUAUGUGUGCAAAAUGUCCGAUGCACUACACGAAUACUCAACUACCAAUCAUCUUCAACUAAAUUCAGCUGUGAGUGCCAUUACAUCAAUUCGGAAGGUCCCACCUGAAUUUGAAAUCCUAGAUGGGUUAACAAGCACAGUUCAUCCAGAAGACUUGGCGCGUGCCAUUAGCUCCUCGGGGACUCUUGAAUCCAAUGCGAAGAGACUCUCGAGAAUGCCUUCCAAUAAGUUGAUAAGAAAUGGCUUGAUUGUUGUCGGGGGCGUAUUAUGCUUGUCUAGAGGUCAUUCCAGUUUGGGUGCUAAGGUUGCCAUGGCAUGCAUAUUGAACAAGCUUACAAAGCGUGGUUCUUCAUCUAAUAAAGCAGGCAAGGUUCAUUAAGAUGGAGGUUAUUAAUCAAACAAUUGGCUAACCCUGUCCGAAGGUUCAAUACGACUGUAGAUAUUUGCUGCUUGUCCUCCUUGUAAAUAUUGACUUGGACAGGUGCCGUGCUGUUUGAAGAGAAAACAGGGUUCGAAGAAACAACAGAUUGUUUUUUUUUUUUUUUUUGGUUUUCGAAGUCUCUUGCUGUAGCCACGUGUAUGCAAAACAUGAUUUCCACAGUUCUGCAACGAAUCUCUCAUUUUUAUUUAAUUUUAGCUGGAUGUUAUUCCUUUGAUGAUGCUCACAAAUCUUAAACAGUUAUUUGCUUAUUUAUAUA